rnacentral:rRNA from 1 species
GACGAACGCUGGCGGCGUGCUUAACACAUGCAAGUCGAACGGAAAGGUCCUGCUUUUGGGGGGUGCUCGAGGGGCGAACGGGGGAGUUACACGUGAGUAACCUGCCCUUGCCUUUGGGAUAUCUUCAUGAAACUGGGGCUAAUACCGGAUAGGAGUUCCUGCUGUUGGGUGGGGGUGGGAAAGUUUCGGCGGUUGGGGAUGGACUCGCGGCUUAUCAGCUUGUUGGUGGGGUAGUGGCUUACCAAGGCCUUGACGGGUAGCCGGCCUGAGAGGGUGACCGGCCACAUUGGGACUGAGAUACGGCCCAGACUCCUACGGGAGGCAGCAGUGGGGAAUAUUGCACAAUGGGCGGAAGCCUGAUGCAGCAACGCCGCGUGCGGGAUGACGGCCUUCGGGUUGUAAACCGCUGUCGCCUGUGACGAAGCGUGAGUGACGGUAAUGGGUAAAGAAGCACCGGCUAACUACGUG